CAACACUCAAGGUUCAAAAAAACGUGAUUAAACAUCGUUUAAUCGAGAUUAAACGCUAGACGGCGGCCUAACGUCUCGUUUAGGGCCUAGGCGCCCAAUUAAGCGUUGGGCGUGCCUAGACGCUGCGUCUACGCACUAGGCGGAGCGUAGGCGGCGCGGACGCGUGAAAAAACGACGCUAGGCGUCGCUGGGCGGGAGGGUCGGGCGGCGGCCGCGCGCGCAGAAAGUGCGAGCAGGAAAAAAGGGCGGGCUGCGGGCGGACUGCGCCAAAACAGAGCGGGCGGCAGGGAUUAGAUAGGUACGAACCUUUUCUUUCCUCGCACACGCGAGGCUAUGACCCGUUGUUGUUCUUCCGCUUCCUGCCGGUAGCGAGCGGAGCCCUGCGCCCCUGCUCCAGAAAUCGCACGGCCUGGAGGGGAAUCGAGGGAGCUGCUCAAGAAAUCAGCACAUCCUGGAGGGAAAUCGAGUGCUGGUGCAGGCGGCGGCGUUCUCCUCGGUCCGUCCCCUGCGUUGUCGCCGGCAAAGCCAUGCGCCCCUGCUGCACACCUGCGUCCUCUGCUCCUCGACAUAGAUCCAAUCAAGGUGCUCCUACAAUCUCUCCCCCCGUUAAUCCGUUAAUUUCUCCUUCACUGGAUUGUUUAUUCUCUGUAUGACUGCUACUGCAUGGAUGUCUGCUAGUGAUACUUGCCAAUUGGUUGAUGAAUUGGAUCGGGGUCUGCAGUCUUCUAGUCUUUAUGUGUGCUACCUCUGUAUUACUUAGUACUUACUACUAAUCUUGCUCUCAGCAGCACAAAAAUAAAUAAAAAAUAAAAAAAACACACAAACGAUUAAUCACGUUUAAUCUACGUUUAAUCUUCCUAGGCGCUAGUCAGUAGGCUAGCGCCUGCCUAGCGCCUAGCGUUUUCUUGAACAUUG